rnacentral:rRNA from 1 species
AUUGAACGCUGGCGGCAUGCCUUACACAUGCAAGUCGAACGGCAGCACGGGUGCUUGCACCUGGUGGCGAGUGGCGAACGGGUGAGUAAUACAUCGGAACAUGUCCUGUAGUGGGGGAUAGCCCGGCGAAAGCCGGAUUAAUACCGCAUACGAUCUACGGAUGAAAGCGGGGGACCUUCGGGCCUCGCGCUAUCGGGUUGGCCGAUGGCUGAUUAGCUAGUUGGUGGGGUAAAGGCCUACCAAGGCGACGAUCAGUAGCUGGCCUGAGAGGACGACCAGCCACACUGGGACUGAGACACGGCCCAGACUCCUACGGGAGGCAGCAGUGGGGAAUUUUGGACAAUGGGCGAAAGCCUGAUCCAGCAAUGCCGUGUGUGUGAAGAAGGCCUUCGGGUUGUAAAGCACUUUUGUCCGGAAAGAAAUCCUUGGCCCUAAUACGGUCGGGGGAUGACGGUACCGGAAGAAUAAGCACCGGCUAACUACGUG